CCGACACCAACCCCCUAUUCAGGGACCCUUAGACUCUGGUGCGUGGGCUGGUCCCCCACAACUACCCAUUCAUUGGAACACGGCAGGCUCCCCACCUUGUUCUGGAAUGCUGCGCUAGUGGGUCCUUACAGGGAAAAUCCUUUGGGAGAAAGACCCAUGUAGAGAUCACAGCAGCUGCAUCGGUGCACAGCCAGACUCCAUUUCAGAAGCUAUUUGAUUCUAUAGGCACAUAUGUAGCUCCAUCUACAGUGCUCUCUUGCCACUCCAAGAAAGUGACUGGCCGAGUUUAAAGCUUACAGGAAAUCCUUCCUGAAUGAAGACACUGGGGAAGCAGGAACCUCUCCUGACCUGCAGCUCCUCUCAGGUAGUGAGCAAAUGAAGAUGAUCCAACAGAUGAAUUGUCAAGAGCCAUAAACCGAAGACUCUAAGAGAAUACUAAGCCUCUAGCCUGGGGAUAUGCAUCAGGCCUAUAGCAAAUGUUUUGUAUGCAUUCUCUCAUAUGAUUCUGUAACUCUA